rnacentral:rRNA from 1 species
AGAAUCAACGCUGGCGGCGUGCCUAACACAUGCAAGUCGAACGAGAAAGUGGAGCAAUCCAUGAGUAAAGUGGCGCACGGGUGAGUAACACGUGACUAACCUACCCUUGAGUGGGGGAUAACCUAGAGAAAUCUGGGCUAAUACCGCAUAAUACCUACGGGUCAAAGGAGCAAUUCGCUUUGGGAGGGGGUCGCGGCCGAUUAGUUAGUUGGCGGGGUAAUGGCCCACCAAGACAGUGAUCGGUAUCCGGCCUGAGAGGGCGCACGGACACACUGGAACUGAAACACGGUCCAGACUCCUACGGGAGGCAGCAGUGGGGAAUUUUGCGCAAUGGGGGAAACCCUGACGCAGCAACGCCGCGUGGAGGAUGAAGUACUUCGGUACGUAAACUCCUUUCGAUCGGGACGAUAAUGACGGUACCGGAAGAAGAAGCCCGGCUAACUUCGCGCCAGCAGCCGC